rnacentral:lncRNA from 1 species
CAGCAUCUUUGUGGCUUCUAAAGUGACAUCAGAUGGACUUGAAGGAUUGCUACUUCUAUUGCUCUAGAAAGCAACAGGUUCAGACCAUCUAGUUGAUAAAAAUUCAAUCAAACUGGGUGUUUUGUAGCUCAAUCUUGAUUAACACAAAAAUGCAAUCAUUAUUGGAUGAACUAGAAGGGGCAUGUCGGUAUCAUAAUAGAUGAGGGAG